AGCAGCCGCGGUAAUUCCAGCUCCAAUAGCGUAUAUUAAAGUUGUUGCAGUUAAAAAGCUCGUAGUUGAAUUUCGGGGUUAGUAGGUUGGUCAUGCCUCUGGUAUGUACUGGUCUCACUGAUUCCUCCUUCCUGAUGAGCCGUAAUGCCAUUAAUUUGGUGUUGCGGGGAAUUUGGACUGUUACUUUGAAAAAAUUAGAGUGUUUAAAGCAAGCUAACGCUUGAAUACAUUAGCAUGGAAUAAUGAAAUAGGACGUUCGAUCCUAUUUUGUUGGUUUCUAGGAUUGACGUAAUGAUUAAUAGGGAUAGUUGGGGGCAUUAGUAUUCAAUUGUCAGAGGUGAAAUUCUUGGAUUUAUUGAAGACUAACCACUGCGAAAGCAUUUGCCAAGGAUGUUUUCAUUAAUCAAGAACGAAAGUUAGGGGAUCGAAGACGAUCAGAUACCGUCGUAGUCUUAACCAUAAACUAUGCCGACUAGGGAUCGGAUGAUGUUAAUUUUUUAAUGACUCAUUCGGCGCCUUA
rnacentral:misc_RNA from 1 species